UAUUAAAGGCAACGCCUGCCCAGUGAAUGUUUAAACGGCCGCGGUAUCCUAACCGUGCAAAGGUAGCGUAAUCACUUGUCUAUUAAUUGUAGACCCGUAUGAAAGGCAUAAUGAGGGUCUAACUGUCUCUUUUAGUACAUCAAUUAAACUGAUCCCCUAGUCCAAAAGCUAGGAUAUUAACAUAAGACCAGAAGACCCUGUGAAGCUUUAACUAAACUAUUAAGACCCAUAAUAACUCCUUUAGGUUGGGGCGACCUUGGAAUAAAAAAGAACUUCCAAACAUAUAUUAUAUAAUACAUUAUUCGGCCAACUAGCCUACAAAGACCCAGCACCGCUGAUAACUGAACCAAGUUACUCCAGGGAUAACAGCGCUAUCUUCUUCAAGAGCCCAUAUCAAAAAGAAGGUUUACGACCUCGAUGUUGGAUCAGGACAUCCUAAUGGUGCAACCGCUAUUAAGGGUUCGUUUGUUCAACGAUUAAC
rnacentral:rRNA from 1 species